rfam:Bartonella australis Aust/NH1, complete genome.
GCGCCCAUCGUCUAGCGGUUAGGACGCCGCCCUUUCACGGCGGAAACAGGGGUUCGAUUCCCCUUGGGCGUA